ensembl:miRNA
CUAUGAUUCUACGUGGCCUCACCAGGGCAGAGUAGAGGUGUGUAGUAGAGCUCACCUCCCUCAACCUGCUGGCCACGCUCCUUUUAAUGCCCCCCAGGAUCCCAUUGGCC